ACUAAAGAUCGGUAGGAAGUCA
rnacentral:siRNA from 1 species